UGCCAAUGAUGACACUUAUUUGCUACUCUUGACAUGUUGAAUGAUGAACAUUUUCACCACUUUACCGAUACUGAGGCA